rnacentral:lncRNA from 1 species
UUUGAAAAUUAUCUUUUUUGUUUUAUCUUUGCUUCUAUUGUGGUUGCUUGACUUACGUUCUUUCUCUUCCAGGUUGUUAUUUUUUUCCAAAUAUUUUAUGAUAUGUGGUUGUUAAUUAAUAUUUGUUAAUGAAAUAAUAAGCUAAUUGGUUUAGUUAAUUAGCAUGAGUUUCUCCAGCAUUUGUUUAUAUCAUUUUCACAAAAGGCCUGCCCCUGGCAUGACAGGUCUGCCUGUGGGCUCCAGGCUUUGUGGCUAAAAGGACUGGACACAGCACAAUCAGGUGGAUUCCCUUUAGGGUGUAUAGUGGAAGCAAGCCAGAGAGCCUGGACACUUUCGAUUGUCAAAGUAAGGUAGUCUUUACUGGGGGUGCACGGUUAUAGGCCUAACUACUCUUUUCCUUCCCCUUCCUUCCUUCCUUCUUUCUUUCCUUUCUUCCAUCCAUUCUUCUUCAUAGUUUUUGCUUAUUUUCUCUUGUUUUAUUUUGUGCUUCCUGGUGUUCUAGCUUAGCCGUAUGCUGGUCAUUUACUCCAGAUGUAUCUCAACUUGUCAACUCUUCAGCACAAGUGUUAUUCAGGGCAUGGUCCCCCCUGCCACAAUACUCCGCUACCACCCCACAAUGGCAACCAGAAAUCAGUUCCCUAGCCUGGAGUUCCUUCUGAAAUGAGCCGUAUUCUCUUCCUAAGCCCAUAGUGCAUGGUCCUGCCCUCUAACUCUUGAACAUGAUCGCUUGUCCUGGUGAUCCUUUUCCUGGCAGGUCUAUGGGUCUCUUUCAGCUAAUCCUACCACACUGGGGGGUCUUUAGGAGCCAAAGGAAAUUUGAGGUCCCCUUCCUACCUCUGCUUUUGCACAGGGCUACUUUAGCUAAAAUCUCAAUAAAAGAAAUAAUCCUGAAAGAAACAAGAAACAAUAAAAGGGGCCAAAUAAUAGGUUUAUAAUAGAAAUAACUAGUAAAUUCAGAGUGGUACAUUAAGGUGUAACAUUUAUAACACAAGAAAAAAAAUUUUUUUAAUGAUUGCUGGAAUUGAAAUCUCAAUGGAUAGGCUGAACAGUGUUUCCCUCUAUUCCAGUACUACUCAUGGGGUGGAGAAGAAGAUUUGUUAGAGUGGCCGCUCAUAUGCUGUUUCUAACAUUUUCCUUCCAGAAACGUCCUCCCUCUCCCCCAGUUCAGGGACCACAGAGGGAAGUACGAGUUCCGCGGGUUUACACACGCUGCCAAUCUUAUCUUCCUCCCGUGUGAAACCUAUGAGGAACUCAGAAUACUGCGAGUUUGGAUCUUUGUUUCCUGGUCUGUGUCUAACGUUCUCUUAGCUCCUCAGAGGCAACUCAUAGUUUUAAUAUCUGAGUUGAGGGAAAGUUGAAGUGUCAAAAGUCUAUGCAGGGUAGUUAAUAUUACAAGCCACCUUGUCCUGUAAGCACAAUUGUAUGUCCCAGGUUUCAUCAGCUUAUAACACCAUAUUUAUAUUAGUCCUUCAAAAUCCUGUGUUUCCCAACAUCCUCUGCUUGACUAGCAUAAAUUCCAAUAUUUUCUUAAGGUUUCCAUUUUCGACUAUUUCUGAGCAUCCAUGCCUGUCAAUCCUUCCUAGUCACCCUCAGCGUUCAUUGGAAGAGUGGGAAUUUAGGUAUCUCCCU